AAGUCGUAACAAGGUUUCCGUAGGUGAACCUGCGGAAGGAUCAUUAGUGAAAAGGCGUACUCGCUUAGAGUAUGCCGCCCCUCACUUCUUACUACCUCGUGAAACUUGGCCCUUUUUAAUUACCACGCAAAGUGAUGUAUGCACCGUUAUUACAAACAAGUAACAAC
rnacentral:misc_RNA from 1 species